rnacentral:rRNA from 1 species
AGAGUUUGAUCCUGGCUCAGGAUGAACGCUGGCGGCGUGCUUAACACAUGCAAGUCGAACGAAGCACUACCGACGGAACUUUUCGGAGGGAAGAUGGUAAUGACUGAGUGGCGGACGGGUGAGUAACGCGUGGGCAACCUGCCCCAUAGAGGGGGACAAUAGCUGGAAACGGCGGCUAAUACCGCAUAAUAAGGAGAGAGCGCAUGUUCUUUUCUUCAAAGAUUUAUCGCUAUGGGAUGGACCCGCGUCUGAUUAGCUAGUUGGUGAGGUAACGGCUCACCAAGGCGACGAUCAGUAGCCGGCUUGAGAGAGUGAACGGCCACAUUGGGACUGAGACACGGCCCAGACUCCUACGGGAGGCAGCAGUGGGGAAUAUUGCACAAUGGGGGAAACCCUGAUGCAGCGACGCCGCGUGAGUGAAGAAGUAUUUCGGUAUGUAAAGCUCUAUCAGCAGAGAAGAUAAUGACGGUACCUGACUAAGAAGCCCCGGCUAAAUACGUGCCAGCAGCCGCGGUAAUACGUAGGGGGCAAGCGUUAUCCGGAUUUACUGGGUGUAAAGGGAGCGUAGACGGCGAUGCAAGUCUGAAGUGAAAGCCCGGGGCUCAACCCCGGGACUGCAUUGGAAACUGUAUGGCUGGAGUGCUGGAGAGGCAAGCGGAAUUCCUAGUGUAGCGGUGAAAUGCGUAGAUAUUAGGAAGAACACCAGUGGCGAAGGCGGCUUGCUGGACAGUAACUGACGUUGAGGCUCGAAAGCGUGGGGAGCAAACAGGAUUAGAUACCCUGGUAGUCCACGCUGUAAACGAUGAAUGCUAGGUGUUGGGGAGCAAAGCUUCUCGGUGCCGCCGCAAACGCAGUAAGCAUUCCACCUGGGGAGUACGUUCGCAAGAAUGAAACUCAAAGGAAUUGACGGGGACCCGCACAAGCGGUGGAGCAUGUGGUUUAAUUUGAAGCAACGCGAAGAACCUUACCAAGUCUUGACAUCCCGGUGACGCAUGCAGAAAUGUGUGUUCUCUUCGGAGCACUGGAGACAGGUGGUGCAUGGUUGUCGUCAGCUCGUGUCGUGAGAUGUUGGGUUAAGUCCUGCAACGAGCGCAACCCUUAUCCUUAGUAGCCAGCAGGUUAAUCUGGGCACUCUAGGGAGACUUCCAGGGAUAACCUGGAGGAAGGUGGGGAUGACGUCAAAUCAUCAUGCCCCUUAUGAUUUGGGCUACACACGUGCUACAAUGGCGUAAGCAAAGGGAAGCGAAGUGGCGACAUGGAGCGAACCCCAAAAAUAACGUCUCAGUUCGGAUUGCAGGCUGCAACCCGCCUGCACGAAGCUCGGAAUCGCUAAGUAAUCGCAGAUCAGAAUGUUGCGGUGAAUACGUUCCUCGGGUCUUGCACACACCGCCCGUCA